rnacentral:ncRNA from 1 species
GAUCUGGUUGAUUCUGCCAGUAGUCAUAUGCUUGUUUCAAGGACUUAGCCAUGCAUGCCUCAGAAUCACUGCAUUGCAGGAAUCUGCGCAUGGCUCAUUACAUCAGACGUAAUCUGCCGCAAAAAUCUUGCGGUCUCCGCAACAUUGGAUAACUUGGCGAAACGCCAAGCUAAUACAUGAACCAACCGGAUGUUCUCUGUUCCGGCGGCAGGGCAACCUGCUGCCAUGGGGCGUCCAGCGAAUGAAUGAAAGUAAAACCAAUGCCUUCACCGGCAGUAACACUCAGAAGUGUUGAUUCAAUUCAUUCCGUGCGAAAGCCGGGUUUUUUUACCCGGCGUCUUUUGACGAACAACUGCCCUAUCAGCCAGCGAUGGCCGUGUAGUGGACUGCCAUGGCGUUGACGGGAGCGGGGGAUUAGGGUUCGAUUCCGGAGAGGGAGCCUGAGAAAUAGCUACCACUUCUACGGAGGGCAGCAGGCGCGCAAAUUGCCCAAUGUCAAAAAAAAAAGAUGAGGCAGCGAAAAGAAAUAG